rnacentral:rRNA from 1 species
AUUGAACGCUGGCGGCAGGCCUAACACAUGCAAGUCGAACGAGUGGCGGACGGGUGAGUAAUGUCUGGGCAACUGCCUGAUGGAUGGGGAUAACUACUGGAAACGGUAGCUAAUACCGCAUACCAUCAGAUGUGCCCCGAUGGGCUUAGCUUGUUGGUGGGGUAACGGCUACCCAAGGCGCCGAUCCCUAGCUGGUCUGAGAGGAUGACCAGACACACUGGAACGGAGACACGGUCCAGACUCCUACGGGAGGCAGCAGUGGGGAAUAUGGCACAAUGGGCGCAAGCCUGAUGCAGCCAUGCCGCGUGUAUGAAGAAGGCCUUCGGGUUGGAAAGUACUUUCAGCGGGGAGGCGUUACCCGCAGAAGUAGCACCGGCUAACUCCGUGCCAGCAGCCGCGGUAAUAC